AUUGAACGCUGGCGGCAGGCUUAACACAUGCAAGUCGAGCGGAGCGAAGGUGCUUGCACCUUAGCUUAGCGGCGGACGGGUGAGUAAUGCUUAGGAAUCUGCCUAUUAGUGGGGGACAACGUUUCGAAAGGAACGCUAAUACCACAUACGUCCUACGGGAGAAAGCAGGGGAUCUUCGGACCUUGUGCUAAUAGAUGAGCCUAAGUCGGAUUAGCUAGUUGGUGGGGUAAAGGCCUACCAAGGCGACGAUCUGUAGCGGGUCUGAGAGGAUGGUCCGCCACACUGGGACUGAGGCACGGCCCAGACUCCUACAGGAGGCAGCAGUGGGGAAUAUUGGACAAUGGGCGAAAGCCUGAUCCAGCCAUGCCGCGUGUGUGAAGAAGGCCUUUUGGUUGUAAAGCACUUUAAGCGAGGAGGAGGAGCUUCAGGUUAAUACCCUGGAUGCUUGGACGUUACUCGCAGAAUAAGCACCGGCUAACUCUGUGCCAGCAGCCGCGGUAA
rnacentral:rRNA from 1 species